UGAAACCCUAAAUCUGAAGAAGAAAAAGAGACCACUUCUCUCUCCUGAAGCUCUAAGCUAUCUUCAAAGCCGCCACCGGUCUAAUGCUUCAAUUUUUCUCUUCAAAUCCAACGAUUAGAAGAAAAUGGUGCUAGAGUUCUUCGUUUUCAAGAGGCUUGGCAAUUUACUAAAUUUGGAAGGGAAGUCUUGUGUAGAGAUGACUCACCUGGUGCUCCACUUGGAAACUGUUAUGAAAGUUGGAGUUGCAAAAAACGAUAUAGCUGGAAGAAAUCGUGAUCUUGGCAUGGGAGGCAUAGGAAAAGUUAUUUCUCAGUUACUCAAUUUGCAAGGUAUGGAUCCUAUAUAUACAAAUUUGGAAAAUUCUUUUAAUGAGCUAGUAGAACUAUUUAUUUGUUAUUCUUUUGAAAAUAGGUUCUGGCAAAUGUCAUGGUUAGACUUCCUGAAUAUGAUAUUAAUUGUUUUUUGUAAAAUCAUUGCAUUAUUUUAAUGUUUAAUACGUUGGUAGUGACUAGUUAGCUCUUAUUUCUAGAAUGAGCUAUUUCUAGAAUGAGCUAUGUUUUAGUUAUAAACAAAUAUAUAGAUUAUAGAUCCAAAAAUUUCUUUGUUUAGAAUUAACCUAUAAUUACUUUAUGGGAAAGACUUCCUUUGGGGGCAAAAGUUGUUGAUUUGGUAAUGAUGUUUUGUGUGGUUCAUAUUUGCACAAAUUGGAGUGUGAUUCCACAUUGUUUGAGGUGUUCGAUUGUAUACUCGAAGAUUUUGUUGAGAACAAGUCUUGACUCAUUAUUGUAAUUAAAAUUAAAUCUUAAUCUCGUUAUGUAUUCUAAAAGUUGAUUAUGAUUAUUUUGUUUUUGCAGGAAACUUCUAUUAAUUUUCUUGAGUCCAUAGAAAUUAAUAUUGUUAUGGAUUGCUGAAGGAUUUAUAGAGAAAGUUCAGUAAAAGAGUAUAGAGGACUUUGCACCUUGGAGUAUCUAAUAGAACUAAUAUAUAAUAUAUUAUUCAAUUUGUGCUUUAAAAUAGUUAAAAAAACAAUAUUUUACUUUUGUAGAAAAAGGACAUUGAUAUUCUUAAAAUUGAAGAAAUUGAUAUUGAUAAGGGUUGUUGAAGGAUAUGUAUAUAAAAAUAGAGCAAAAGAACUUAGAAGAUGUUGCGUGCUAGAAUAUCUAAUUGAGUUAAGACACGAGCUUUGUAUUAGUUGUCAAAUGAAGAUAUAAUGGAGUUAAACUUGUAAUAUACUUGAUGUAUUAUGAUAUGUUUUUAAGAAUGGACAAAUAGUGAUUUUUUUUUUUUUUUAAUAGAGAUCCAAGAGUAUAUUCUCUCUCUAUUUUUCUUUUCUUUUUUUAUUUUAAUAUGUGGGUUGGUGAUAAUCAUGUUGGCCAUGUUUGGUUGCUAUUGAUUUUUCACUAGUUUCUUUAGUCAAA